rnacentral:rRNA from 1 species
AUUGAACGCUGGCGGCAGGCCUAACACAUGCAAGUCGAACGGUAACAGGAAGAAGCUUGCUUCUUUGCUGACGAGUGGCGGACGGGUGAGUAAUGUCUGGGAAACUGCCUGAUGGAGGGGGAUAACUACUGGAAACGGUAGCUAAUACCGCAUAACGUCGCAAGACCAAAGAGGGGGACCUUCGGGCCUCUUGCCAUCGGAUGUGCCCAGAUGGGAUUAGCUAGUAGGUGGGGUAACGCCUCACCUAGGCGACGAUCCCUAGCUGGUCUGAGAGGAUGACCAGCCACACUGGAACUGAGACACGGUCCAGACUCCUACGGGAGGCAGCAGUGGGGAAUAUUGCACAAUGGGCGCAAGCCUGAUGCAGCCAUGCCGCGUGUAUGAAGAAGGCCUUCGGGUUGUAAAGUACUUUCAGCGGGGAGGAAGGGAGUAAAGUUAAUACCUUUGCUCAUUGACGUUACCCGCAGAAGAAGCACCGGCUAACUCCGUG